rnacentral:rRNA from 1 species
CCUACGGGUGGCAGCAGUGAGGAAUAUUGGUCAAUGGGCGCGAGCCUGAACCAGCCAAGUCGCGUGAGGGAUGACGGUCCUACGGAUUGUAAACCUCUUUUGCCGGGGAGCAAGCGUGCGUUCGUGAACGCGCGUCGAGAGUACCCGGAGAAAAAGCAUCGGCUAACUCCGUGCCAGCAGCCGCGGUAAUACGGGGGAUGCGAGCGUUAUCGGGAUUUAUGGGGUUUAAGGGGUGCGUAGGCGGGAUGCCAAGUCAGGGGUAAAAUGCGGUGCUCAACGCCGUCGAGCCGUUGAAACUGGCGGUCUUGAGUGGGCGAGAAGUAUGCGGAAGGCGUGGUGUAGCGGUGAAAUGCAUAGAUAUCACGCAGAACUCCGAUUGCGAAGGCAGCAUACCGGCGCCCUACUGACGCUGAGGCACGAAAGCGUGGGUAUCGAACAGGAUUAGAUACCCGGGUAGUC